CACCAUCUGCAUCUGCUAUAUGUUUUUUUCUUAUCUUUCUCCUGCAUCCAGCGCCUCAUGCCCUAUUCCAUCUAGCUCCUAGUCUCGAAGUCGACUGGUCUUGCCUGCUCCUCCUCUGUUGUGUCUGACCGACGUUGUUUCCUGCUUUCCUCUUCUUCCCAUCGAUUCAAGCUUUUAUAGCUCCCAAAACUGCUGCUUGUGCUAGUGUGCUUCGCCGCCAUUGCCUCUUGUGUUAAGCUGAGUUUUUGGAGCUACCAAUAUGUGACUUAAGCUGAUCGCAAAUUCGAUAAGCAACUUUAGUUUUAUUACAGCUUAGCUUCUAAUUCUGAAGCAGGAUUUUCUUAAUUUUCUGCUGGUUUUUCUUGUUGGUCUCAUUUUCAGGGGAAUUGAAGAAUCAUAUUCCAAUGAAGAUGUUUCUGUUUAUUUGGUGGAGACUCCUGCUUGCAGGCAAACGAGAGAGCAAAUCCAUGAAUUUAUGGAGAAGUAUAAGACAUACAAGCUUGCAAAAGCUGAGAUCCUCAAUGUCAUCAACGUUGCACCUCGUGAAUUAGUUGAAAUUGACCCGGUAGUUUUAUUAUUAAUUCAUCUUUCUCUUUCAUUAAUUAAUUCAUUCAUUCCUUCUUUCUUUCUUUGAAUUGUCCUUACAGAAAUCUUGGCUUAGGAGUGACACUUUCUAUGCUAUUUUUCUCAAUUUGUGAAUGUUCUUUUACUUCUCAUUUAUCAGGAUAGCUUUAAUUUAGGUAUUUGCUUUAUGUAAGGUGUGAAGGGACGCAUUGAAAUAAAUUUGUAUCUUAAUCAUUUGGACAGAAAAAGAAUAGAAAUCUGCUGUUAAAUUUGGUUGAGAAAUUUUUAAAUGGUAAAAUCAAUAUGAUAAGAAUUAGUAAACGGUACAGUGUUGUGUCAUGCAUCUUACAUUAAUUGCUUUUUCCAUUUAAAAAUAGAAAAAUUGUUUAUUUUGGGAAUCAGUUGUUAUGUGAUUCAUCUUCCAUUGUUCUUGGGUUAGCCCUUUGAAAAUAAUUUAUUGACAUAGUCUGGUAUUAUCUUAGUGCCAAAUUGACUUGUUCUGGAGAUAUGAUAGGUCUGCAUUCUGUUCUUUUGAAUCUGAAUAGGAUGCAAUCCACAAAUAGACUGAUGCUUUGGCUGUCCAUUUGUUUUAAGGCUGGAGCUAGAAAUAACUAAGGCUUUAAGCUAAAAAUGGUGGCAAACAUAUUGUAAGUAGGGAUAUCAGUUCCCUUGUGCGUGUGUGUUUGUGUUUGUGUCUGUGUGUGUGUUUUUUCUAUUCAUUAUUUUAAUUAAGUUUUAUGGUAAAAGUACUGGUAUAAACCACAAGUGGUCUCUUAACACCAUCAAAUUAUGGAAAUUGGCAAGGUAGAAAGUUAAGAACACUUAAGUUUGAAAAUUAAGAAACUAUGUUGUAAUGCUUUUAAUUAAAUUUAUUAAAAAACUGAACAAUAGUUUAGACGAGUCAUAUGGCAAGGGCAUGGAAUAAGUUAAGAACACUUAAAUUUGAAAAUUGUUAGUGCAGGACUCCUAAUGAAAUGAAUAAGUUAUGAGAAUCACCUUUUCUGAUUUGCUAUGUAAUCAUUAAUUAUUAGAUAAUAUAUUUCAUUCUCCAAUGUAUAUAUUUGCUAGUUUUAUAUGUAUGUAAGGUCACAAUAAUUUGUAUAAAAUCUACAAAUUCGAUUUUCUUCUCAAUUCUUGAUUAAUAAAAUUAUGAUUUUGAUUCUAAAUUUGACAACUUAGGAAUUAAACAGAUUCAAACAAAUCAUGAUGUAAAAAUAACUAUUAGACAGGAAAGAUUGGGAUCCAAAAAAAAAUCAUAGAUACCGCUUUUUCUAUGCUUGAGAAAUGCUGCAUCUUGUUUGAUAAGAUUUUCUGCAUGUGUACCAGAGAAGCCAUAGCUGUUCCCUGAAAUUCUAUCAUAUUAUCCAAUAAAAAGGAAAGGAAAGCAUGUAGAUGCAAAAUUGAAUAUCAAUACUGUCAAAUUCUUAAGCACUAUAUCAUAACGAAAUUAGCUGUGCAAGAAGGGGUUGGGGGAAUAAAUAAAAAGAAGGUUGAUGGUAGGAGAGGUCGGAGCUUUUCCUUUCCCUUCUGAAUAUCUAUUACCUUAAAAAUAUUCAAUAUGCCAUACAAAUUAACUUACACAACCUGUGACCAACAAGCACAAUAGCAGGAGGAGAAUCUCCAUGCAUUAACUAUAGAACAUAUUCGUUGUUUGUAAGAGUGAUAUAACUCGUAUGUUGAUUUAGAAAGUGAAGUAUGUACGAUCUAAUUCAAUGAAAAAGUCUCAUGCACCUUCAAAUUAAUAUGCAAGUGUUGUCUGUGAAGUUGCCACUAAAUGCAGUAAUGUGAUGAAGAGAUCGCUUUGCUUCGACAUGGGUUAUAGUAGCAGCAGUAAUUGCAAAAGGAUUAAUUAAAACACUAGGAAAUAUAGGUAGUUUGAAUAAGCAGCGGAUAAACUACUAGAAAAGGAUAUAUAGAUAGAGAGGGUUUUUUUUUUUUUUAAAGGAUAUAUAGAUAGAAAAGGACAUGGGUUCUACUGCUUUUUUUUUCUUUUUUUUUUUUUGUGUAAUUAAGCUUAUUCAAUAUUUACAUAAAAAUGUGAUAUUAUUUAAAUUUUUUUAUGUAAUUCAAAUAAAAUCUACGUAAAUUAUAAACUAAAUUUAAAAUACAUUUUUAUCUUUUUUAUAGAUAAACACUUUAAUAAUGUGAUUUUAUAAAAUACAAUUUCUUAAUUGAUGAUAAAUUGGAAAUAGUCUAUGCUAUUAUAAUUAAAAAAUAAUGCUAAUUAUAGUAUUACAUAACUAAUUUUACAUGUAAGAAAAAAUAUAUAGAGUAUUACACAAUCAAUCUCACUUAUAUAUAUCAAAACUUUUGAGUUUUUUUAUUGCAAUAUUUAAUUUAAAAUUUAUCUCAUUUUAAUUAUUUUUAACUGUUAAAUGAUUACAUUCAUAUCAUUCACUAUCGAUUAUCUCUAAAGGAAAAAAUAAACAAAAAGUAACACUAUACUUAUAAUAAAAAUUGGGAGGGUUCUUUUUUUUUUUAUAGCAACUUCAUCCUUGAUAUUUAGAGGAAACAUCUCAGAAAUUAUGACAAGAUUUUCUAUAUAAUGAGGGAGAGAGAGAGGAAGAGAGAUUUUUUUUCAUUAGGAUAAAUUUUUUUCAAUAUUUGAAGGUUUGUAUUUUUGUGCCAAAAUUGAAACGAUAUGAAUAAAUCGCAAAAGAGUGAAAAAAUUUGGCUGUUUAUUAUGAUUAGAAAUUUAAUUCAAAUAUAGGAUGAAUUACAAUUAAGUCCAUAAGAUAUAGAAAAAUCCACAUAUCAAUCCUUAAUUUGUUUUUGGCAAUAAUUUAGUCCUUAAAUUUAAACUGUGUUAACAAAUUGGUGUUUCAAUUGAAAUCAGACUCAAUUUUCUGUCAAUCAACCUUAGACUCUACAAGCCAACUCACAUAAUUUCUAAAUUAUCUCUCUCUUUCUCUCUAAUGUUGCAUUUUUUAAAACAGAAUUUGCACUAUCUUGGGCCAUUAAUCAUUAUAAUCAUUACAACACAAUGUUUGGAAAUACUUCUUUUGCAAUACUUCUUUUGUGGCAAUACUUCUUUUGCAACAUAUGGCACCAAGCUAUUGGGAUUGUUUCGGCUAGUAAUAGUGACACUUUGUUACAAUUAUUUGGGUUCUUGGUUUGUGUUCGUUCUACUGCUGGGCUCCGUGAUUCAAGGCAUUUUAUUAACCUCAGAAGCUGAGAAGCUGCAGUCUAUGAAUUUGUUGCUCUAUAUGGCCUUAUAACCACAUAACUUUAAGAAUGGAAGGGAUUUCUUGAAAGUUGAAUCUUGUUAUAUUGAAAUGGGUUUGAACAGACCUCAAAAACUCGGCAAUGCUAUCUCGACCAGAUGGAUUUCUAUCUUCUCCAAAAAAAUGAAAAGAAAAACAAAUUAAUGUGUAUAUUAUCAGAGGAGACAUUAUUAUUAUUUUACAUCAAUUAAUAAAUCUUGAGUCUAAUUUUAAUAAAAAAGAAAGAUCAAUUUAUGAAAUAAAAUUUAAAUUUAUGAACCAAAAUUUUGUUAAAAACAAAUUAGAAAUUAACAUGUACAUUUUUCUAUAUUUUAAAAACUUAAUUGUAAUUUCCUUUUUCUUUAUGAAAUUAUUAUUUAGUUACUGUAUUUUAAUAAAACUAAUUAUUUAGUCUUUUUAUUUUAAAAUAUACACCAUUUAGUUUUUAUAUUUUUCUUUCCUUAAACUCUUUCAUAUCUCCAUCAAAUUUUUUUGUUGGUCAACUAAUUUUAAUGCUAGUCAAAUAAUUAUUUAGUUCUUCUAUUUUAGUCAAACUAAUUAAUUGGCCUACCUAUUUUGAAAAAUAUUACUAUUUAGUCUUUAUUGUUUAGCAAAACUAAUUAGUUAGUCCCCAUACUUUAAAAAACCCAAUAUUUUAAAAACAUAUUCCUAUAUAAAAAUGAAAAUUUUGUUAUGUGGAAACUAUAUUUGAAUUUAUAUUUUUUUAAAUUGUUCAAAUAUUUUUCAUUCUAUUCCUAGAUAUGUAUCAUUAUUGUGUUUUCUCUAUUGGAAAAAUUUUCUUCGAUUAUCGCCUGGAUUAUAUUUACUGAAAGGUUAUAAACUAAGCACUUCCAAAGGGGAACAAACUAGUAUAUAAGAUAGUUGAUACUAGAAAUACCAUACCAAAUUAAAUUGAUUCCUGAGUAUCCGAAUUAUUAUUUAUUUCUUUCUUUAUUUGUAUAUAUUAUUUCUUGUUAUACUAUUGCACCACUAAGCAGAAAUGCUUAGCGCGAUGGAAUUGCUUCCUCGCGCAGGUACUGAAGGUAAAAUCAGUAGACUGUCGACUGAGAUUUUUGGAGUUCAGAUCUGCAGAAGUGUCAAAAGAGUACAAGGUUGUCACCUCCUCAGCAAUGCAUGUAGAUAGGGCUCAUUUUAUACAUGUUAUGUAUAUUGUUCAUUCCUAGCACAUUGUAAAUUAUUUGUAUAUCCUGUACAAAAUAAACUCAUGUAAUUAACCUGUGAAUUAUGGAAGCUACUGAAAGCAAGUAUUUUAAUAUGUGAA